AGUGAACGCUGGCGGUAGGCCUAACACAUGCAAGUCGAACGGCAGCACAGUAAGAGCUUGCUCUUACGGGUGGCGAGUGGCGGACGGGUGAGGAAUACAUCGGAAUCUACUUUUUCGUGGGGGAUAACGUAGGGAAACUUACGCUAAUACCGCAUACGACCUACGGGUGAAAGCAGGGGAUCUUCAGACCUUGCGCGAUUGAAUGAGCCGAUGUCGGAUUAGCUAGUUGGCGGGGUAAAGGCCCACCAAGGCGACGAUCCGUAGCUGGUCUGAGGGGAUGAUCAGCCACACUGGAACUGAGACACGGUCCAGACUCCUACGGGAGGCAGCAGUGGGGAAUAUUGGACAAUGGGCGCAAGCCUGAUCCAGCCAUACCGCGUGGGUGAAGAAGGCCUUCGGGUUGUAAAGCCCUUUUGUUGGGAAAGAAAAGCAGCAGGUUAAUACCCCGCUGUUCUGACGGUACCCAAAGAAUAAGCACCGGCUAACUUCGUG
rnacentral:rRNA from 1 species